rnacentral:rRNA from 1 species
AUUGAACGCUAGCGGGAUGCCUUACACAUGCAAGUCGAACGGUAACGCGGGGCAACCUGGCGACGAGUGGCGAACGGGUGAGUAAUGUAUCGGAACGUGCCCGGUUGUGGGGGAUAACUGCUCGAAAGAGCAGGUAAUACCACAUACGACCUGAUGCUGAAAGCGGGGGAUCGCAAGACAUCGCGACAUUUGAGCGGACGAUAUCAGAUUAGGUAGUAGGUGGGGUAAAGGCUCACCAAGCCAACGAUCUGUAGCUGGUCUGAGAGGACGAGCAGCCACACUGGGACUGAGACACGGCCCAGACUCCUACGGGAGGCAGCAGUGGGGAAUUUUGGACAAUGGACGCAAGUCUGAUCCAGCCAUGCCGCGUGCGGGAAGAAGGCCUUCGGGUUGUAAACCGCUUUUGUCAGGGAAGAAACGCUCUGGGUUAAUACCUCGGGGUAAUGACGGUACCUGAAGAAUAAGCACCGGCUAACUACGUGCCAGCCGCCGCCGUAAGAC